UACGUAGGGUGCGAGCGUUGUCCGGAAUUAUUGGGCGUAAAGAGCGUGUAGGCGGCCAGGUAGGUCAGCUGUGAAAACUCGAGGCUCAACCUCGAGACGUCGGUUGAAACCACCUGGCUAGAGUCCGGAAGAGGAGAGUGGAAUUCCUGGUGUAGCGGUGAAAUGCGCAGAUAUCAGGAAGAACACCCGUGGCGAAGGCGGCUCUCUGGGACGGUACUGACGCUGAGACGCGAAAGCGUGGGGAGCGAACAGG
rnacentral:rRNA from 1 species